UUGAAAUGAUGAUAUUCUACCUCAUUGGUCCAUGUUUCUGAAAAACUUGAUGUGGUGGAAGUUCUGACGAA